AUUGAACGCUGGCGGCAGGCCUAACACAUGCAAGUCGAACGAGUGGCGGACGGGUUAGUAAUGUCUGGGAAACUGCCUGAUGGAGGGGGAUAACUACUGGAAACGGUAGCUAAUACCGCAUACCAUCAGAUGUGCCCAGAUGGGAUUAGCUUGUUGGUGGGGUAACGGCUCACCAAGGCGACGACCCCUAGCUGGUCUUAGAGGAGAACCAGCCAAACUGGAACUGAGACGCGGUCCAGACACCUACGGGAGGCAGCAGUGGAGAAUAAUGCACAAUGGGCGCAAGCCUGAUGCGGCCAGGCCGCGUGUAUGAAGAAGGCGUUCGGGGUGUAAAGUACUUUCAGCGGGGAGGCGUUACCAGCAGGAGGAGCACCGGCUAACGCCGUGCCAGCAGCCGCGGUAAUAC
rnacentral:rRNA from 1 species